CAAGAGAUGACACCUGACAGAAAAUCCUCAGAUGGAGUCAGCACUGUAUUUUUUCCACCAUGUGUGAGCAUGGAAAGUAGUUGUCUGCACUCUUGUUUCAGCAACUGAUGGGCAUUCCUGCUUAGAAGAGGUGGUCAUUUUAUAUCAAUAGAGAUGACUGAAAAUACAGCAGGUGCCCAGUGAACAUUCCAGGUUUACCAGUGAGUAAACCCUGGGAGCCAAGAGGCUGGUGACCCUGGCAAGAACUGUCUGCUUGGACACCAUGAAUGCAAGCAGCAGAGAACCUCAGUCCAAUUCAAGCACAGAUGAUUCAGGGUUGGAAAUUCCCCUUGAAUGACAAGGGACAAAGGGGUCUUGUGGCCAACUUGGGCCUGAAUGAGGCAGAGCUGCUCUGCCUAGGGCAGGAGUAGCCAGUAGCUGAAGGUGUCCCAGGCCAGGGAAGUCCUAUCUCUCUCCUGGGCCCUAGGGUAUAUCUUCAACACAUUUCUCCUUUCUGUGCCCUGCUUCAUUUCCAUUCUUACUACCUCCCUACUGGAGGGGGGUGGGGUGGGAGAGAGGGCUGCGUUUGUUCCCUCCCAGUGUUAGAUUUCAUGUGGCUUUGUUUUGUCAUGGCCCUGGCUUGAAAUCAUGGUGUCCUUUCUACUUUCGGACAUUCCCAUGGAAUUCCUUAUUUCAAGCUCCCAAGAGAAAGAUUCUGAUUGAUUCAGUUCUGUUUCCAUUCUUGCCGCUAACCUUGGCUCAAGUUCCAUGCCAUGGCUCAGAGUACUUGCUCUUAUUUGUGCUUCCCAUUCCUGGCUAUGGGAUUGGAUUGGAGUUGGGUUGUAUUCUAUUGUGUAACCCACAACUAUCUUGGGGGCAUAAGCUGAGGGUGGGGGAUGUCUCUUUAGGAGAGGAUGUCACCCUGUAGCCUUCCUGGGAUGAAGGGAUGAAGAGACUCCAUUGUGCAGAUGCAUGAGGGAGGAGGAUGUCUAGUCUCCUGGAACAACAGGCAACCAUUGAAGGAUGUUGCGUGGAGGUUGAUCUGACCUGGUUAUGUCUUUUAAAAGCCCUUGUUGUCAUGUCCUGGAGAAAGAACAGGAGGGGCUCACGAAAGCAAGCAGAAAGACCAAAGGGGCUGUCCCAUUUUACAGAUGAGUAAACUGACUUCCCAACAACACAAACCAGUGAGCCACUAGGAAAUUAUCUUGGUUUCUCUGUACUAACAGAUGGGGAGGGGAUCCCAGAGAAGCAGGUCACAAAAUGUUGAUGACCAGGAAUAUCAGUACAGUGGAAAAGAAGACCCUUCCAUCUGAAGUUUUUCUCUUUGUUAAGAAAGUAAUCCCUAAUCCAGUUCUCUUACCUGAGGGGAAGAGGAUGGAGGUGCCAUGAUCAACUUGACUGUGUAGACAAAGACACCACUCUGGAGAGUGGCAGAGCAACUGGAAGGAAGCCUAAGUGACCACAUAUGGCAGAACCUGCCUCAUCCUGGACUGUUUGCUUGCAGUGUUGCACAAGUAUGGAAUAAACCUGUAUUUCUUUAAGCCACUCUGUUUGAUUGUCUCCUUGUAUCUUAGUUACUUUCUUAGUUGUCACUGAGACACAAUACCUGCAAAUUAAGUGAGAAAAGUUUUAUUUUGGCUCAUCAUUUGUAGAGGUUUCAGUCCAUAGUUGGCUGGCUCCAAGGCAGG
ensembl:lncRNA